rnacentral:rRNA from 1 species
AGCGAACGCUGGCGGCAGGCCUAACACAUGCAAGUCGAACGAUCCUUCGGGAUAGUGGCGGACGGGUGAGUAACACGUGGGAACGUACCUUUAGGUUCGGGAUAUCUCAGGGAAACUUGAGCUAAUACCGGAUAAGCCCUUAUGGGGAAAGAUUUAUCGCCUUUAGAGCGGCCCGCGUUAGAUUAGCUAGUUGGUGAGGUAAAGGCUCACCAAGGCUCCGAUCUAUAGCUGGUCUGAGAGGAUGAUCAGCCACACUGGGACUGAGACACGGCCCAGACUCCUACGGGAGGCAGCAGUGGGGAAUCUUGCGCAAUGGGCGAAAGCCUGACGCAGCCAUGCCGCGUGAAUGAUGAAGGUCUUAGGAUUGUAAAAUUCUUUUAGCAGGGACGAUAAUGACGGUACCUGCAGAAAAAGCCCCGGCUAACUUCGUGCCAGCAGCCGCCGUAAAAC